rnacentral:tRNA from 1 species
CAUUAGGUGUCUGAAAGUAAGUGAGGGUCUCUUAAACCUUUUAUAGCAAAGUAGCGAUUGCUCCUGAUGA